rnacentral:rRNA from 1 species
UACGGAGGAGGCAAGCGUUAUCCGGAAUUAUUGGGCGUAAAGCGUCCGCAGGUGGCACCUCAAGUCUGCUGUCAAAGACCGGGGCUUAACCCCAGAAAGGCAGUGGAAACCGAAGUGCUAGAGUGCAGUAGGGGUAGAGGGAAUUCCCGGUGUAGCGGUGAAAUGCGUAGAGAUCGGGAAGAACAUCGGUGGCGAAAGCGCUCUGCUGGACUGCAACUGACACUCAGGGACGAAAGCUAGGGGAGCGAAUGGG